rnacentral:rRNA from 1 species
CGGUAAUUCCAGCUCCAAUAGCGUAUACUAAAGUUGUUGCAGUUAAAAAGCUCGUAGUUGGAUUUCUGCGGGGACAGAGCGGCCGGUCGCAACUUGCGACUCGAGCUAGCGCUUUCCCCGCAUCCUGCCGCGAACCGUGCUACCAUUAGCUUGGUGGCGCUGGGGAUCGGCUCGAUUACUUUGAGAAAAAUAGAGUGUUCAAAGCAGGCCACACGCCUUGAAUAAGUUAGCAUGGAAUAAUGACUAAGGACUUCGGUUCUAUUUUGUUGGUGUUCGGGACUGAAGUAAUGAUUGAUAGGGACAGUUGGGGCGGUCUGUAUUCCAAAGCGAGAGGUGAAAUUCUUAGACCUUCGGAAGACAAACAGCUGCGAAAGCGUUCCGCAAGGAUGUUCCCUUUGAUCAAGAACGAAAGUUGGGGGAUCGAAGACGAUCAGAUACCGUCGUAGUCUCAACUAUAAACUAUACCAGCUAGGGAUCGGUCAACGUUUAAUCAUUCGACUUGAUCGGCACCUUAUGAGAAAUCAAAGCAUCUGGGUUCCGGGGGGAGUAUGGUCGCAAGGCUGAAACUUAAAGGAAUUGACGGAAGGGCACCACCAGCCGUGGAGCCUGUGGCUUAAUUUGACUCAACACGGGAAAACUUACCAGGUCCAGACAUAGUAAGGAUUGACAGAUUGAUAGCUCUUUCUUGAUUCUGUGGGUGGUGGUGCAUGGCCGUUCUUAGUUGGUGGAGUGAUUUGUCUGGUUAAUUCCGUUAACGAACGAGACCCCAGCCUGCUAAAUAGCGCGGCUGAGCUUUGCUCGGUGCGAGCUUCUUAGAGGGACUAUGAUGCGCGAUAGCACAUGGAAGUUUGGGGCAAUAACAGGUCUGUGAUGCCCUUAGAUGUUCUGGGCCGCACACGGGCUACACUGGCGCCUGCAACGAGCAUAUCAGCUGGCCCGAGAGGGUCUUGGCUAAUCUUUUGAACCGGCGCCGUGCUUGGGAUUGACCAUUGCAAUUGUUGGUCAUGCAACGAGGAAUGCCUUGUAAACGCGAGUCAUCAGCUCGCAUUGAAUACGUCCCUGCCCUUUGUACACACCGCCCGUCGCUCCUACCGAUGAAUGUUCCGAUGAAAUUUUCGGAGAGCGCCAGAGAACGGGGCUCUGCCUUGCAGAUCUGGAGGCUCAAAGUCACUUAAAUCUGAACAUUUCGAGGAAGGAGAAGUCGUAAAAGGGUAACC